AACGAACGCUGGCGGCGUGCCUAACACAUGCAAGUCGAGCGAGAAAGUCCGCAAGGAUGAGUACAGCGGCGCACGGGUGCGUAACACGUGGGUAAUCUGCCCUGAAGCCCGGAAUAACCUCCCGAAAGGGAAGCUAAUGCCGGAUAAGACCACGGGAGCCUCGGCUCCUGCGGGAAAAGGUGGCCUCUGCACGCAAGCUAUCACUUCAGGAUGAGCCCGCGGCCCAUCAGCUCGUUGGCGGGGUAACGGCCCACCAAGGCUACGACGGGUAGCUGGUCUGAGAGGACGAUCAGCCACACUGGAACUGAGACACGGUCCAGACUCCUACGGGAGGCAGCAGUGGGGAAUCUUGCGCAAUGGGCGAAAGCCUGACGCAGCAACGCCGCGUGUGUGAUGAAGGUCUUCGGAUCGUAAAGCACUGUCGGGAGGAAAGAACAAGCCUGUGGCUAACAUCCACGGGCCUUGACGGUACCUCCAAAGGAAGCACCGGCUAACUCUGUGCCAGCCGCCGCGGUAA
rnacentral:rRNA from 1 species